rnacentral:rRNA from 1 species
GCUCAGCCGUCAACAAAGACAGUAUAAGUACAAUACUGUUCGCCAGAGAACUACAAGCUAAAGCUAAAAACUCCAAGGACUUGGCGGUGCUCCACAUCACCCUAGAGGAGCCUGUCCUAUAAUCGAUACCCCCCGAUCUACCUCACCAUUUUUUGAAACUCAGCCUAUAUACCGCCGUCGUCAGCCUACCUUGUGAAAGAAGCACAGUAAGCAAAACAGUCACCAACUAAAACGUCAGGUCAAGGUGUAGCACAUGAAAUGGAAGAGAUGGGCUACACUCUCUCCCCCAGAGAACACGAACAGCACCAAUGAAACACUGCUCAAAGGCGGAUUUAGUAGUAAGAUAAACAAGAGAACUUAUCUUAAACCAGCCCUGGAGCGCGC